rnacentral:rRNA from 1 species
GGAAUAUUGGACAAUGGGCGCAAGCCUGAUCCAGCCAUGCCGCGUGUGUGAAGAAGGCCUUCGGGUUGUAAAGCACUUUUGCCCGGAAAGAAAUCCUUCGAAUUAAUACUUCGGAGGGAUGACGGUACCUGAAGAAUAAGCACCGGCUAACUACGUGCCAGCAGCCGCGGUAAUACGUAGGGUGCGAGCGUUAAUCGGAAUUACUGGGCGUAAAGCGUGCGCAGGCGGUUAUGCAAGACAGAUGUGAAAUCCCCGGGCUCAACCUGGGAACUGCAUUUGUGACUGCAUAGCUAGAGUGCGGCAGAGGGGGAUGGAAUUCCGCGUGUAGCAGUGAAAUGCGUAGAUAUGCGGAGGAACACCGAUGGCGAAGGCAAUCCCCUGGGCCUGCACUGACGCUCAUGCACGAAAGCGUGGGGAGCAAAC